rnacentral:rRNA from 1 species
AUUGAACGCUGGCGGCAUGCCUUACACAUGCAAGUCGAACGGCAGCACGGGAGCAAUCCUGGUGGCGAGUGGCGAACGGGUGAGUAAUAUAUCGGAACGUGCCCAGUCGUGGGGGAUAACGUAGCGAAAGCUACGCUAAUACCGCAUACGAUCUACGGAUGAAAGCGGGGGAUCGCAAGACCUCGCGCGAUUGGAGCGGCCGAUAUCAGAUUAGCUAGUUGGUGGGGUAAAAGCUCACCAAGGCGACGAUCUGUAGCUGGUCUGAGAGGACGACCAGCCACACUGGAACUGAGACACGGUCCAGACUCCUACGGGAGGCAGCAGUGGGGAAUUUUGGACAAUGGGCGCAAGCCUGAUCCAGCAAUGCCGCGUGCAGGAUGAAGGCCUUCGGGUUGUAAACUGCUUUUGUACGGAACGAAACGGUGAGCUCUAAUAAAGCUUGCUAAUGACGGUACCGUAAGAAUAAGCACCGGCUAACUACGU